ensembl:misc_RNA
CUGAUGACUAUGUUGGCUGAAAUCCUCUGUUUAUCCUAAGAACAGAUACAGCACAGACAAUGGCAAUGCAAGCUUCUGCCCACUACCAGGCCUAUGAAUGACCUGGAAAAGCCAUUCCCAAAGCCGAAUCUUUAUUCAAGCUCUGUGCCCAUUUAAUCCGUGACCUCU